rnacentral:rRNA from 1 species
CGAGAAGACCCUGUGGAGCUUUAGACUUAAGAUAAAUUGUACCUGUAUGUUAUAUCCCUAAUAGAAUCCAGCAAUUAUAUAUUUAAAUGUCUUUGGUUGGGGCGACCUAGG